GUGCAAAACCGUGGCUAGUUCUGGCCGUGCUGAUCCAUCCCUCUGUAAGAGAGAUUCAAACCCCUUUGCAGCCCGUGUGGCGGGGCAGAUGGCACAGCACACAGGCCUCCGGGGACCCGCGGCGAAGUGCGAGGACAAGGACAUCAGAUAUGUGCAGGCAGUGACAGCUGAGUGGAGAAACCAUUCCCCGCCUCGGAGAGCGGCUGGGCAGAAUAUACAUGCAGACGUUGAUUACAGGAUCCACGGGCAAACAGGAGCUGAAUGCUGAUAAUUGAGCUGUCAGCGGGGAGGCCCGUCCUGGGCUCGCCGGGGCAACGGCCGCGGCCCCGGGAGCGGAGGGUCUGGCUGCCACCAGGCCAAGGACCCCGGGGCAGAGCCAGGACCCUGCCAGCUUCUCCCUGGGGCGAGCCCACGUUCCCCGCUGGCUUUGGGAAGAGAUGCAGGGUCGUGGAGCAUCACCGGUACCCCGGCGUGGGGCACCAUUCGUGGAGGAGCAACUGGAAUUCCCAGAGAUGCCCCAGGAUCUUCUCAUGCUCCGUGGGGACCAGGAGCAGCGUCCCUGUGCAGCGCAUCCCCUUUGCUGCACCAGCACGAGCCCCUCGCUGGGGUUUCCCCGCUGCGGGAGCUGGUUUGUGGUUAUUUAUCGCCUUGCCAGGCUCUGUCUUGGCUGGGGCUGAGCUCUGCCGGCAGCCCUGCCGUUCCCGGGGAGGUUUUGGGGAACACUGGCCGCACGUUGCCUUGUGUUGGUGGCAAGUGCUUGGCUUGGAAGCUGCUGCAGAGCCCCUGUGGCACAGGCAGGGGGUUUCAUCACAUUUUCUCUCCUUUGGAAACAAAAAAAUAAAACCUACCCACUGUCCAAAAGUUACAAG